UAAGCAUAUGACUAAGCGGAGGAAAAGAAACUAACAAGGAUUCCCCUAGUAACGGCGAGUGAAGCGGGAAGAGCUCACAGUGAAAAUCGAGCCCUCGGGCCCGAAUUGUAGUCUGAAGAGGCGAGGCCUGCCACUGUCCGUGGCCAAGUCUGAUUGGAAAUGAGCAUCAUGGAGGGUGAGAAUCCCGUUCAUGUCGCGGUAUCGAUCAGUGCGCAAAAGGCCCGUUUUCGACGAGUCGAGUUGCUUGGGAUUGCAGCUCAAAGCGGGUGGUAAACUCCAUCGAAAGCUAAAUAUGGGGGGGAGACCGAUAGCGAACAAGUACCGUGAGGGAAAGAUGCAAAGAACUUUGAAAAGAGAGUUAAAGAGUGCCUGAAAUUGCUGGAAGGGAAGCGAAGGAAAGAGGUGUGCGGUAGUCGGAGCGCCAACCCCCAUCUGCCUUCGUGGUGUGGGGGUAGGCCGCUUCGCCGCGGUCAGGGGUGGCGGCUGGGUCGCGUGAGGAUCCGUGCGGGAUCGGUAGCCCUCUCCUUUACCGGGGAGGGUGUCAGGCCCGCGCGGCUUCGCGUCGCGGCUUCCCGGCCCCCUUCUUCUGGCGGUUGCCGCUUUUCCUUCA
rnacentral:rRNA from 1 species